UUUCUACAACUCGAUUGAAAAAAACAAUGGCCUGUUCCAUGGCCUGACACGUCAUAUUAUGCAAGCCAACUGGGAGCACAGGGAAAGUCACACUGUGAUGUCAUUUCAACCAAACAGCCAAGGGGGACAGGCAAACAGGAAAUGUCGUAAGGGACACAAAGCUGAGGUGAUUUGCAAAGGAAACAACAAGACGGGGAGAGUUAAAAAUAAAUAAAAAAUAUAGGAGGUCUGUCAAGGAAGAGCGCUGGAAAGCCUUUCAUAAGAGCACAAGACAAGAGCAAUCGAGCAGUGGAGUGAGUGAGCAGGAGAGGCUAAUUGGUGAUUUGAAGCACCUAUGCGCCCAGGUGAGCAGAGUGGCUAAUGAGGUGGGUGUGGCUGACGGGCACAGUGGCGCAAUGGAGUGGUGAAUGGAAAAAAGCUCAGGCCCAAGUUCUAGCUGAAGAAAAACAGCCCAAAAACACAAUGCCACCACCACCCUGUGUCAAUGCUCAUCUUGCUCCUGACACAUCCUGAUGGACAGCGAUGAAGAGCGGGAGAAAAAUUGCCUGAAUUGUUGCUGACUCGGCUGCUCUUCUCGUCUCCGAUCAGCCCUGCGAAAGAAUCACAGGAUCACGAAAGGAGAGUGGCUGACUACG